rnacentral:rRNA from 1 species
GUAGGUGGCAAGCGUUGUCCGGAAUUAUUGGUCGUAAAGCGCGCGCAGGCGGUUCUUUAAGUCUGAUGUGAAAGCCCACGGCUCAACCGUGGAGGGUCAUUGGAAACUGGAGAACUUGAGUACAGAAGAGGAAAGCGGAAUUCCACGUGUAGCGGUGAAAUGCGUAGAGAUGUGGAGGAACACCAGUGGCGAAGGCGGCUUUCUGGUCUGUAACUGACGCUGAGGCGCGAAAGCGUGGGGAGCAAACAGGGAUUAGAUACCCUGGUAGUCCACGCCGUAAACGAUGAGUGCUAAGUGUUAGGGGGUUUCCGCCCCCUUAGUGCUGCAGCUAACGCAUUAAGCACUCCGCCUGGGGAUACGGCCGCAAGGCUG